CAGCCGCCACGGUAAUACAGAGGGUGCGAGCGUUAAUCGGAUUUACUGGGCGUAAAGCGUGCGCAGGCGGUUAUAUAAGACAGAUGUGAAAUCCCCGGGCUCAACCUGGGAACUGCAUUUGUGACUGUAUAGCUAGAGUACGGCAGAGGGGGAUGGAAUUCCGCGUGUAGCAGUGAAAUGCGUAGAUAUGCGGAGGAACACCGAUGGCGAAGGCAAUCCCCUGGGCCUGUACUGACGCUCAUGCACGAAAGCGUGGGGAGCAAACAGGAUUAGAUACCCGAGUAGUCCCUGUCUCUUAUAC
rnacentral:rRNA from 1 species